rnacentral:rRNA from 1 species
CCUACGGGUGGCAGCAGUGGGGAAUAUUGCACAAUGGGGGAAACCCUGAUGCAGCGACGCCGCGUGAGUGAAGAAGUAAUUCGUUACGUAAAGCUCUAUCAGCAGGGAAGAAAUACUGACCUUACGGUCAGCAGCCCGUACCUGAGUAAGAAGCCCCGGCUAACUACGUGCCAGCAGCCGCGGUAAUACGUAGGGGGCAAGCGUUAUCCGGAUUUACUGGGUGUAAAGGGAGCGUAGACGGUGCGCCAAGUCUGGCGUGAAAUGCCGCAGCUUAACUGCGGAACUGCUUUGGAGACUGGCGGACUAGAGUGCGGGAGGGGUAAGCGGAAUUCCUAGUGUAGCGGUGAAAUGCGUAGAUAUUAGGAAGAACACCGGUGGCGAAGGCGGCUUACUGGACCGUAACUGACGUUGAGGCUCGAAAGCGUGGGGAGCAAACAGGAUUAGAUACCCCGGUAGUC